CAGCCGCGGUAACACCGGCGCCACAAGUGGCAUCCGUAUUUACUUGGCCUAAAGCGUCCGUAGCUUGUUUGAUAAAUUUCUUGUGAAAUCGUCAGGCUUAACUUGACGACGUGCGGGAAAGACUGUCAAGCUUGGAACCGGGAGGAGUCAGAGGUAUUUCUUGGGGAGCGGUAAAAUGCUAUAAUCCUUGAAAGACCACCUGUGGCGAAGGCGUCUGACUAGAACGGAUUCGACGGUGAGGGACGAAAGCCAGGGGAGCGAUCCGGAUUAGAUAUCAAAAAUCUUCGAUUUUUGGAAUUAUUCAAAAAUCAUUGUCGAUCGUUAAAAAUUACUGACAAUGAUAGAAGAUAAUUUUUUAUGAUGAUUUUUGACUAAUUACCCGAGUAGUCCUGGCUGUAAACUCUGCGAGCUAGGUGUUGCGCAUUCUUCGAGAGUGUGCAGUAUCGUAGCGAAGGCGUUAAGCUCGCCGCCUGGGAAGUAUGGUCGCAAGACUGAAACUUAAAGGAAUUGGCGGGGAAGCACUACAAGGGGUGCGGCGUGCGGUUCAAUCGAAUUCAACACCGAAAAUCUCACCAGCAGCGACGGCAGAAUGAAGGUCAGAUUGAAGGUCUUACCUAACAAGCCGAGAGGUGGUGCAUGGCCGCCGUCAGCUCGUGCCGUAAGGUGUCCAUUUAAGUAUGGUAACGAGCGAGAUCUGUGCUCACUAUUGCUAACGAGUUCUUUAGAAUGAUCGAGCACAUUGUGAGGACUGCCUGGAAACCAGGAAGAAAGGGCCAGGUUCCGGUACUCCUGUAUCCCCCGAAUCUGAUGGGCUGCACGCGCGCAAGAAUCGUAGGUACAACAAGAGGAUACGACUCCGAAAGGAGAAGUUAAACCUCGAAAUCCUAUCCAAGUCCAAAUCGAGGAUUGUAACUCAUCCUCGUGACGCUGGAAUCCCUAGUAAUCAGAAGUCAACAGCUUCUGGUGAAUAUGUCCCUGCUUCU
rnacentral:rRNA from 1 species